CCUACGGGAGGCAGUAGUGGGGAAUAUUGGACAAUGGGGGGAACCCUGAUCCAGCCAUGCCGCGUGUGUGAAGAAGGCCCUCGGGUUGUAAAGCACUUUCAGUGAGGAAGAACGCCUGGUGGUUAAUACCCAUCAGGAAAGACAUCACUCACAGAAGAAGCACCGGCUAACUCCGUGCCAGCAGCCGCGGUAAUACGGAGGGUGCGAGCGUUAAUCGGAAUUACUGGGCGUAAAGCGCGCGUAGGUGGCUUGAUAAGCCGGUUGUGAAAGCCCCGGGCUCAACCUGGGAACGGCAUCCGGAACUGUCAAGCUAGAGUGCAGGAGAGGAAGGUAGAAUUCCCGGUGUAGCGGUGAAAUGCGUAGAGAUCGGGAGGAAUACCAGUGGCGAAGGCGGCCUUCUGGACUGACACUGACACUGAGGUGCGAAAGCGUGGGUAGCAAACAGGAUUAGAUACCCCUGUAGUC
rnacentral:rRNA from 1 species